GUAAGGAAUAUUGCUCAAUGGGAGAAAUCCUGAAGCAGCAACGCCGCGUGGAGGAUGAAGGGUCUAUGACUUGUAAACUCCUGUAAAGAAGGAAAAAAUUCCCAUUAGAUGGGAGAUGAUGGUACUUCUGGAGUAAGCCCCGGCUAACUACGUGCCAGCAGCCGCGGUAAUACGUAGGGGGCAAGCGUUGUCCGGAUUUACUGGGUGUAAAGGGUGCUCAGGCGGAUUUGUAAGUCAGAGGUGAAAUCUUACAGCUUAACUGUGAAACUGCCUUUGAUACUGCAAACCUAGAGUAUGGAAGAGAGUGAUGGAAUAUCUGGUGUAGCAGUGAAAUGCGUAGAUAUCAGAUAGAACACCAAUGGCGAAGGCAGUCACUUGGUCCAUUACUGACGCUAAAGCACGAAAGCGUGGGUAGCAAACA
rnacentral:rRNA from 1 species